GACGAACGCUGGCGGCGUGCCUAAUACAUGCAAGUUGAGCGCUGAAGGUUGGUACUUGUACCAACUGGAUGAGCAGCGAACGGGUGAGUAACGCGUGGGGAAUCUGCCUUUGAGCGGGGGACAACAUUUGGAAACGAAUGCUAAUACCGCAUAAAAACUUUAAACACAAGUUUUAAGUUUGAAAGAUGCAAUUGCAUCACUCAAAGAUGAUCCCGCGUUGUAUUAGCUAGUUGGUGAGGUAAAGGCUCACCAAGGCGAUGAUACAUAGCCGACCUGAGAGGGUGAUCGGCCACAUUGGGACUGAGACACGGCCCAAACUCCUACGGGAGGCAGCAGUAGGGAAUCUUCGGCAAUGGACGAAAGUCUGACCGAGCAACGCCGCGUGAGUGAAGAAGGUUUUCGGAUCGUAAAACUCUGUUGGUAGAGAAGAACGUUGGUGAGAGUGGAAAGCUCAUCAAGUGACGGGAACUACCCAGAAAGGGACGGCUAACUACGU
rnacentral:rRNA from 1 species